AGCGAACGCUGGCGGCAGGCCUAACACAUGCAAGUCGAGCGCCCCGCAAGGGGAGCGGCAGACGGGAGAGUAACACGUGGGAACGUACCCUUCAGUUCGGAACAACCCAGGGAAACUUGGGCUAAUACCGGAUACGUCCGUAAGGAGAAAGAUUUAUCGCUGAAGGAUCGGCCCGCGUCUGAUUAGCUAGUUGGUGGGGUAAUGGCCCACCAAGGCGACGAUCAGUAGCUGGUCUGAGAGGAUGAUCAGCCUCACUGGGACUGAGACACGGCCCAGACUCCUACGGGAGGCAGCAGUGGGGAAUAUUGGACAAUGGGCGCAAGCCUGAUCCAGCCAUGCCGCGUGGAUGAUGAAGGCCCUAGGGUUGUAAAGUCCUUUCGGCGGGGAAGAUAAUGACGGUACCCGCAGAAGAAGCCCCGGCUAACUUCGUGCCAGCAGCCGCGGUAAUACGAAGGGGGCUAGCGUUGCUCGGAAUCACUGGGCGUAAAGCGCACGUAGGCGGACAC
rnacentral:rRNA from 1 species